UCACCAGGUUGGAUCUGCCUGACGUGGACGCUAGUCUCACAGAUUUAGCCAUGCAUGUGUAAGCGAAGCUUUUAGUGGAGCGGUGAAAGGCUCAGUAACGGGCGAUUUAUUUGUUCUCCUGUGACGGACAACAUCGGGAAACUGAUGGGAAAACGUCUAAGUUGCAGUUAAUUGAUUGUGACGUAAACGAUAUUGUGCAGGAGAGUAAGAUGCCAUCCUAUCAGUUAGUAAGUAGGGUAAGGGCCUACUUAGACGAAGACGGGUACGGGGAAUGAGGGUUUGAUUCCGGAGAGGGAGCCUGAGAGAUGGCUACCAGGACCAAGGUCAGCAGCAGGCGCGAAAAUUAUCGAAGCCCGCCUAGGGGCGAUAGUGAGGAGACGUGUAUAACGAAGUACGUGUAAAGAACGUGCUAAUAACUGGAGGUCAAGUCUGGUGCCAGCAUCCGCGGUAAUUCCAGCUCCAGGGGUGUCUAUGAUGAUUGCUGCGAUUAAAAAGUCCGUAGUCAAUCUGACUGACUGGCCUGCAAUGUGAUUGAUUAAAGAACGAGCAGGGUUAGGAAAGCAGAGAAUCAGGAGCGACCGAGGGCUAGAGUAUUGAAUGGCGAGAGGUGAAAUUUGAUGACCCAUUCAGGAGUGACAAAGGCGAAGGCACUAGUCAAGGGCGAAUCCGAUGAUCAAGGACGUAGGCUAGAGUUUCGAAAACGAUUAGAGACCGGAGUAGUUCUAGCAGUAAACUAUGCCGACGCCGUGGUAUCAUUUUGGUAUUGCGGAAGAGAAAUCAAGUAAGGCUUUGGGGAGAGUACGCGCGCAAGCGAUAAAUUUAAAGGAAAUUGACCGGAG
rnacentral:rRNA from 1 species